CCAUAAGCUGAAAUGUUAGGUCUUGAUUCAAAAUCUUUUGUGACUUUCUUUUUUGCCUCUUCAUCAACAUUGUUGCCACCAUAAGCUGAAACAUUAGGUCUUGGUUCAAAAUCUUUCAUGAUUUUUUUCUUUUUCUCUGCACCAACAUUAUUGUCACCAUAAGCUGAAACGUUAGGUCUUGGUUCAAAAUCUUUCAUGACUUUUUUCUUUUCUUUUGCACUAACAUUAUUGUCACCAUAAGCUGAAACGUUAGGUCUUGGUUUAAAAUCUUUCAUGACUUUUUUCUUUUCCUUUGUAUUAACAUCAUCAUCACCAUAAGUUGAAACUUUAGGUAUUGGCUCAAAAUCUUUCAUGAUUUUCUUUUCUUCCACUGCUUCAAUGUCAUUGUCAUUGUAAGAUGAAACAUUGGGUCUUGGAUCAAAAUCUUUCGUGACACUUUUCUUUGGCUUAGCAUCAACAUCAUUGCCACCAUAAGCUGAAACAUUGGGUCUUGGUUCAAAAUCUUUCAUGACAUUUUUCUUUGGCUUAGCAUCAACAUCAUUGCCACCAUAAGCUGAAACAUUGGGUCUUGGUUCAAAAUCUUUCAUGACAUUUUUCUUUGGCUUAACAUCAACAUCAUUGUCACCAUAAGCUGAAACAUUGGGUCUUGGUUCAAAGUCUUUCAUGACAUUUUUCUUUGGCUUAGCAUCAACAUCAUUGUCACCAUAAGCUGAAACAUUGGGUCUUGGUUCAAAGUCUUUGAUGACAUUUUUCUUUGGCUUAGCAUCAACAUCAUUGUCACCAUAAGCUGAAACAUUAGGUCUUGGUUCAAAGUUUUUUACAACUUUAUUUUCUUCCUUAGCAUAAAUGUCAUCAUUUCUGUAAAUUGGAACACUUGAUAUUGGUUCAAAAUCUUCUAAUAUGGUGGUGUGAGUAUUCUUAACGAGAGAUUUUUCGCAAUCAUGUUU
rnacentral:lncRNA from 1 species